UGAUAUAAACAAUUGAAAUGAUGACAUAAAAGUCAUAAUUAUCACAUCAAAAAAUCAUGAUUAUGAGAUAAAGUCAUAAUUAUCAGAUACAAAGUUGAAAUGUUGAGGAAUAAGUCUAAAUCAUGAGAUAAGUCAUCAUUAUGUGAUAAGAGGGUCAUAUUUAUGAGAUACAAAUUUGAAAUGAUGAGAUAAUUAUAAAGAUACAAAUUCAUAAUUAUGAGAUAAAAAGUUUAAAUUAUAAAAUCAAAAGUUCAAAUUAUGAGAAAAAUUCAUCAGAUGAGGUAAAAAGUCUAAAAUUUUGAGAUAAAAAGUUCAAAUGAAAUAAAAGUUAUAAUGUGUCAACAAGGCGUGGACUUUGCGGUUUGUUUUCCCGGAAGACAAAAGGAAAGUUGGAGCGGGCAAGGCGUGAAGGUAAGGACAUCAUUUAAUCUUAACUCAAAACAGGAACAAACAAAAGGCGCUCACAAGGAGGUACAAAAACUUGGCUGUGAAAACAAAACUUGCACUAAGGCAGAAACUAGGAACAUGAAACUAAACUCGAUAUCUGUGACAUGAAAAAGAAAAACUUACAAGAAGCUUAACUAUGGACCGGCAUGAGUAACAGAGGUAAAGUCGCCAGGCUGACUACCUGGCAACCGUGGCUUAAAUAAUACUAUGGUGAUUAGUGAAAACAGGUGCGUGACAUGGGGACAAGGUGAAAACUAAUGGGUUGGCAUGGAAACAAAGCAAACAAGGAAGUGCAAAAACAGGAAACAAUGGAGUCUUAAACAAAACAGAACAUAACUAAACAAAACAUGAUCACAAGACAUGACGAAAUGAUGAGAAAAGUUCAUCAACGUGAGAAAUUUAGAAUUAUGAAAAAAGUAAUUAUGAGAUAAAAAGUUCAAAUAAUGAAAUAAAAAAAUUUAAAUUAUGAGAAAAAAUCAGAUGAUAUAAAAAGUCAUGAGAUAAAAAGUCAGAAUUAUGAGAUGAAAAAUGUUCAAAUUAGAUAAAGUUGAAAUGAUGAGAAAAGGUCAUUAAUGUGAGAUAAAGUCAUGAGAUAAAAGUCAUAAUUAUGAUAUAAAAAGUAGAAAUUAUGAGAUAGUCAUCAUUAUAAGAUAAAAAUCCAUAAUUAUGAAAUAAAAACUAAAAAAUUAAAAUAAUUUAAAAUUAUGAGAACAAGUCAUCAGAUGAGAUAGAAAGUCAUCAUAGGAUAAAAAGUGAGAAUUACAAGAUACAAAGUAAAAAUUAUGAGAUAAAGAAGUUAAAAUGAGAUACAAAGUUAAAAUGAUGAGGAAAAAGUCAUCAUGAGCUAAAAAGUCAGAAUUAUGAAAAAAAAAAGUUCAAAUUAUCGCAUAAAACGUUAGAAUAUAGAGAUUAAAAAAUUGAAAUGAGGAAAAAGUUCAAAUCAUGUGAUACAAAAGUCAUGACUAUGAGAUAAGUCAUAAUUAUGAGAUACAAAUUGAAAUUAUGACAUAAAAAGUUAGAACUAUGAGAAAAAGUCACAAGAUAAAAAGUCAGAAUUAUGAGAUAAAAUGUUAGGAUUGAGAAAUAGUCAUCAAUAUGAGAUACAAGUCCAAAACUUGAGAUAUCAUCAAAUCGUUAUCCCAUAAUUAUCAAAUUUUACACUUAUCUCAUAUCUAUGACUUUUUAUCUCAUCAUUUUUACUUUGUAUCUCAUAACUAUGAAUUUAUUAUAUAAUUAUCCCUUUAUCUCAUAAUUGACAUUUUGUCUCAUAAUUUGCACGUUUUCUCUCAUAAUUUGGAUUUUCUUUUUCAGUGGUGAAAAAUAGUCUUUCAUUACAACAUGCAGCGUGUGUCCAGGCUGCUCCACACGUACUACACACAGGUCUUAGUGGAGCAGGUACCUGGGGUUGCCAUGACAACUAGGUGCUCCACACGUACUACACACAGGUCUUAGUGGAGCAGGUACCUGGGGUUGCCAUGACAACUAGGUGCUCCACACGUACUACACACAGGUCUUAGUGGAGCAGGUACCUGGGGUUGCCAUGACAACUAGGUGCUCCACACGUACUACACACAGGUCUUAGUGGAGCAGGUACCUGGGGUUGCCAUGACAACUAGGUGCUCCACACGUACUACACACAGGUCUUAGUGGAGCAGGUACCUGGGGUUGCCAUGACAACUAGGUGCUCCACACGUACUACACACAGGUCUUAGUGGAGCAGGUACCUGGGGUUGCCAUGACAACUAGGUGCUCCACACGUACUACACACAGGUCUUAGUGGAGCAGGUACCUGGGGUUGCCAUGACAACUAGGUGCUCCACACGUACUACACACAGGUCUUAGUGGAGCAGGUACCUGGGGUUGCCAUGACAACUAGGUGCUCCACACGUACUACACACAGGUCUUAGUGGAGCAGGUACCUGGGGUUGCCAUGACAACUAGGUGCUCCACACGUACUACACACAGGUCUUAGUGGAGCAGGUACCUGGGGUUGCCAUGACAACUAGGUGCUCCACACGUACUACACACAGGUCUUAGUGGAGCAGGUACCUGGGGUUGCCAUGACAACUAGGUGCUCCACACGUACUACACACAGGUCUUAGUGGAGCAGGUACCUGGGGUUGCCAUGACAACUAGGUGCUCCACACGUACUACACACAGGUCUUAGUGGAGCAGGUACCUGGGGUUGCCAUGACAACUAGGUGCUCCACACGUACUACACACAGGUCUUAGUGGAGCAGGUACCUGGGGUUGCCAUGACAACUAGGUGCUCCACACGUACUACACACAGGUCUUAGUGGAGCAGGUACCUGGGGUUGCCAUGACAACUAGGUGCUCCACACGUACUACACACAGGUCUUAGUGGAGCAGGUACCUGGUACAGCUAAGCACACAAUAGCACACAAGCUAGACAUAGGUAAUAAUCAUUGAACAACAUAAACAAGUAUCAGAUAAUUACAGGUGCAUAUCACCUACAUACAAAGUCUCUAAGGCAUAAUGGAAGGUAUCCAGUAACAAACGUGUCCGCGUCAUUCAUUCAACUUCAUGAAUUAUUGUGACCAUGAGGUGUCACCAAAAAAAAAAUUACCACUCCACUUCAACUUAAAGAAAGCAUAAGGUUAAUAAUAAAUAGGUUAGUAUGUUUUAUAUAGCUAGCCUUGUUCUUUGAGUCAUUUCACUAUUUCUACACUACAAAAUGACACAAGUAUGUAUGAUUACUGCUGAUAAUACUCGGGGCUGCGAUAUCAAUAUUGUAUUGGAAGUGACAAGGUUGUAUCGGCACACCCCUCAGAGUGAAAGGCCCAGCAUGAGCCAAUUCUCCCAUAUUGUUGCUUUAAAGGCAAGGAUGUUGUAGUUCCAGUAAAUACUAGGUGAAGUGCAGAAAGUCUUCAUAAAGUUGCGAUUAAAGAAUCAAACAAA